rnacentral:rRNA from 1 species
UACGUAGGGUGCAAGCGUUGUCCGGAAUUAUUGGGCGUAAAGAGCUCGUAGGCGGUCUGUCGCGUCGGAUGUGAAAGCCCGGGGCUUAACCCCGGGUCUGCAUUCGAUACGGGCAGACUAGAGUGUGGUAGGGGAGAUCGGAAUUCCUGGUGUAGCGGUGAAAUGCGCAGAUAUCGGGAAGAACACCCAUGGCGAAGGCAGCUCUCUGGGACGGUACUGACGCUGAGACGCGAAAGCGUGGGGAGCGAACAGG